rnacentral:lncRNA from 1 species
AUUUUCAGGCUUUGGAAAAAUGAAAACAUGAGUGGUGCAUUUCAUUGCGCACAAGCAUACAUUUGAACAAUAAUUAUAAGUCAAACUGACCAACUAUAUAGGUUCAAUCCAGGCACCUAACAGCCGUGAUUGAUUGCUAAGAAGUGAGAAACUGGAUUUUGUUGCUGGCACCUAAAUGCUUGACUACACUUCUUGGUAGAUCAGGAUCAUGACAUGCUUACCUGCUUUCAUUGCAGUCGAGGAAAAUGGUAGAAUUGCGUUUGACUUCUGCUUAUUAACUUGCUAGAGAUUCACUUGACAGUUUGAUGUUGUUAUUGGCAAACUCAUCUUUUUUGUUCUACUUAUCAUCAGCUGUGCUGGAACAUUGAUGAUAACAACCAUGGUAAGGUAGUGCAUGCUUGACUCGGUUUCUUGAACUAAAUCUCAAUCCUACUGUUGGCAUUUACUAUUCUGGAUCCAAAUAAUGUUUUGGUAAGAUAUAAAAAUGGGUUGGGGGAGGUGAUUGAUUGCAAAACAUUAGUAUAUAGUUUUGACUACGUGCAUUAUAUAUAUUGUAGACUGUAUAAUCUCAACUCCUUUGCACUCAAAUGUUGGUGUUAUUUAGUUGCUAUGCAUGGUGCAACAGUGAAUUUGCAGAUGCAGGUGUAUAACAAACUUUUUGCCAAAAGUGUUAGCUGCGCUAGCUAUUGAAUUUGAAGAAUUGGUAUGCAGUCAGGUUAGUACAGCACCCAUUUUUGAUCAAUAUGAAUUAAUCUUUUUAAGCUAAACAACACCCAUCAUCAAAUCAAACAUAUUCAUAAGCUAAGCUAGAGUACCAUAUAACAUGUUUAACUGACCAACUAGGUUCAAUCCAGGCACUUGACAACUGUUCUAUAGUGGGGGAGAAAUCCGUGAAUGCUUCUUUCUUGUCUUUGCCAUUGUCCCCAAAGGUUUGAUACCUGCACGUGUCAAGACAGUAGAACACUAUCUUCCCGCCAUAAAAUCUAGGAAAGUAGAUCUUGUUCUCCAUUCCUGAAAUCUUUGCAACUGCAGAGAAAGAUUCCGUGCCACAAAUAUAAAUCAUGAGUUUUCCCAAACUAUUUACUUUCUCCCACUUUAGUGUAGAGUGAUUCAGCUUGAAUACUUCAACCCAUCUCCCAAACUCACCCACAACAAUUGAAAAUUGAUAUAAGAUUGUUGUUGCAUUCCACGAGGAAACGUUGGCCACAAGACGUGAAACAAGUUUUGGGGGGGUCAUGUACCAGAAAUUCACAACUAUAUGCACCAGUUCUAAAAACUCCAAGCUUUCCUUGCCUACUAAAGAAAUAAACAUUUCGUCCACAAAAUGCUAAUCUUUUAUGAGAUGAUAAUAGGUCGGAUCGAAUAUUAGGAUCAAUUAAAACCAUGCGCCAUUCCGGUUGCCCCGGAGAAAUAAGGUGAAUAGUGCCUGUCAACCCAACAACUACAAUACAAUCAGGGGAAGUAGGCGGUGCUGAAAAAGCAAAACUUGAAUGACAAGCUAGAACCAAAUUUGGAAGCCGGAUGAUAGACCUUUUAAGAGGAUUAAAGAAGUGUGGACAUUCCAAUCCUGCAAAUAUUAGCAGCCAACCAUAUCUAGAAGAGCAUAUCACGGCAUCUCCGAUUAAUUCAGGAGAUGUAGUCGUAAAAUAUUUACCACCCAACUUUGGAUCUUUUAAAGUAAUAAUGCCUUGAAGUUUGUCUAUUACCACCAGCCAUGGUGAAACUAAAUAGUGUGUCUGCAAUCUUCCCAAUGCAGUUGCAGUGCUCCAUUGUUUUGAAGGUGCUGCUAAUUGAAAGUGCUUACAAGUAGCACGGAAAUUUAGGUAUUCGACAGCAACACAAUGCUCAGCAAUCAAUUCCAAUAUAUGAAAUGGGAUAUCAAGCAAAUGCGAUUUCAUCUCCAGCUCUCCCAACUUCUGCUCAUUCAUCAUCCUCUCAUCGCUAACAAUGGAUCUUACCACCAUCUCCUCCUCUUUGCCUUUGCCUUUGCCUUUGCCUUGUUCUUUAAUAUCAGUUAUGCUCUUGGCUUCUUCUGCAAUCCUACAAUUACAAAUGUAAACAAAUGUUUAACAUGGAUGCACGAAAAUGUCAGGCUCCAAAUUAAAAAACAUGGGUAAACAACAUAAAUUUUGCAUCUAGGUAUGCAUACUAAUAAAUACCAUUCUAAUCAACACUUAAAACGAAUAAAAGUACCUGCUUUCAGGCAAUAUCCACAAUGAGAUAUGGUGUUGACACAGUGCUGGUUGUAUAUCUGGACAGCAUAAAUAAGAUAGAGAGAUUGUUUUAUCUUCCAUGUUGUAUGAGUAUACUUUGCACAUAUCUUGAAUAAUGUGUACAUAACUCCCUAAUGUGAUUCAAUUGCAGGGCAGGAAAUUUGUGAGUAAAUACCGUCAACCAAAAAGAAUGCACGGUCCUUGGAGCUUUUCAUUUCCUCCCAAUUUGAACAAUUGUAUAAAUUGAAUUUCCUUGGACGGAUUUUCUUUAAACGAUACAUUAAUG